rnacentral:rRNA from 1 species
UUCCGGUUGAUCCUGCCGGAGGUUACUGCUAUCGAGGUCCGACUAAGCCAUGCGAGUCGAAUGUAGCAAUACAUGGCGUACUGCUCAGUAACACGUGGACAACCUACCCUCAGCACGGGGAUAGACCCGGGAAACUGGGUAUAAUACCCGAUAGUUCUAAGAUGCUGGAAUGCGUUUGGGACGAAAGCUCCGGCGACCGAGGAUGGGUCUGCGGCCUAUCAGGUAGUAGUGGGUGUAAUGUACCUACUAGCCUACGACGGGUACGGGUCGUGAGAGCGAGAGCCCGGAGAUGGAUUCUGAGACACGAAUCCAGGCCCUACGGGGUGCAGCAGGCGCGAAAACUUUACAAUGCUGGCAACAGCGAUAAGGGGACCUCGAGUGCCAGGAUACAAUCUUGGCUGUCGCGAUGCCUAAAAAGCAUUGCAUAGCAAGGGCCGGGCAAGACCGGUGCCAGCCGCCGCGGUAACACCGGCGGCUCGAGUGGUAACCGCUAUUAUUGGGUCUAAAGGGUCUGUAGCCGGCCGGAUAAGUCUUUUGGGAAAUCCAGCUGCUCAACAGUCGGGCUUUCAGAAGAUACUGUUCGGCUCGAGACCGGGAGAGGUGAGAGGUACUUCAGGGGUAGGGGUGAAAUCUUGUAAUCCUUGAAGGACCACCAGUGGCGAAGGCGUCUCACCGGAAC